rnacentral:lncRNA from 1 species
UAAAGAUUCAGCAGUUGGAACUGAUGGAAGUGAACUCCUGAAGUGAUUUGGAUGGCCACAAAAUCAAUUCCUUGCUCUGGAUGAUUUUUGUUUACUUCCCUAUUGGACGCUGGGUAGAUCGCUGGGAUUUCUUCUAGUCAUCCUUCCUACUUGUGCUGGUUAAACUUUCGUCAACUUGACCCAAGUCAGGUUCAUCUGGGAAGAGAGGACCUUAACUGAGAAAAAGCUUCCAUUGGAUUUGUUCUGCAGGCAAGUCUGCAGGGUCAUGUUUUGACUAAAACAUUGAUGUGAGAGAGACUAGCCCACCAGGAAGGGGUCACCCCUGAGCAAGCUGGCCCUUCCAGCUUAGAAAACAGGCUGAGCAAGCCAGGGCGGAGCAAGUCAGUAAGCAGCAUUCCUCCAUGUCUCCUGUGUCACUUUCUGCCUUGACUUGCCUCAGUGAUGCAGUGUGAUCCGAGAUGUAUAAACCACAUGAAUCUCCC